rnacentral:lncRNA from 1 species
GUGUCUGAGUUAGCAACACUGAUGAAUUACUGCGGUAGGCAGGGACCAGGCUGAGACGAGAGACUAGCCACCUGGACUUCGAGUUCAGCGCUUCUCCCCGUCCUCGGCUCCUCUACCAGGGCCUUGCUUCUCCUCUCAUUUAGGAUCAGCCAGAGAGGAAGAGCCUGGAGGCCAGGUUGCGGUUAGGAAAAAGAAAACAGAAGUAAGAUUGAGACUCCGAUUAAGAUGAGGGUGCCUUAAGCAGUUAGGGCUGGAGGUGCAUGCACACACAGGCUUCGUGUCUGGAGCCACCACUUAUUUUUCCCUGGGGUAUGUGGCCAGGAUGUGUGUGGUUUCCUUGUAGAUGUUUUCGUGUUCCCUAGGCCCUGCCUUCCUGUGACUGAGCCAGCAAAGGACCCCUAAUGGCCGUAAGAAGUGGGUCCCUAACCCCUCUGUCGGAUCCUUGCUGGGUGUAGCUUCAAGCCAGUGGGACUAAUCGGGACUAAUCGUGAUAAUGCUAUCUUUGUUCCCAUUUUGCAGAUGCAGAGCAGUCAGCUGUGAGCCCGGGGGAACUGAUGGAACCAGAUCCUGACCUAAGUCAAUUGCUAGGACUCUGUCCCUCAGGGAGUAAAGCACAGAGCAUACCCCAGAUAUCUAUCCUUGCCAUGGAAUCUCUUCCAAAUUGUGAUUGUCAAGGACAGCCCAGAAUCUUGUCUGGACGUAUCGCGAUUUGUUCAACUAAUCUCCUGUUGUCGGACAUUCAGGUUGUAUCUGCGCUCUGCUGACUGUCAAAAGGCAGUUCUGCCUGCCCUGGACUUUGCACUAGGCUGAAGGCUGACCCACCUCUUCUAAAUCCCAAGUGGUCUUCCGAGAAGGAUCAGGCAGGGACAAAGACACAUACUGCGGAGCUUCCAGUGCCUCCCCAGUCAAGUCUCAAGACAUAAGACACACCCAGACUUGAGUGUGGAUGAGAAUCACAUUCCAGAGGCAGGGAGCGUAUUGUUUGGGCGACAAGAUGUAACUCUAAAAUACAGAAGGUUUCUUUUCCGACAGUCAUACCAGAGCUCACCCAACCCAGUAACUCACUGUCCUUUCAAAGUAGUCACCCGGAAGGCAGUCCUCUCCUUGCAAUAAAACGGUGCUUGCAUGAAAAUGCA